UACGUAGGGUGCGAGCGUUGUCCGGAAUUAUUGGGCGUAAAGAGCUCGUAGGCGGUUUGUUGCGUCUAUCGUGAAAACCUGCAGCUUAACUGUGGGCUUGCGGUGGAUACGGGCAGACUUGAGUUCGGUAGGGGAGACUGGAAUUCCUGGUGUAGCGGUGAAAUGCGCAGAUAUCAGGAGGAACACCGGUGGCGAAGGCGGGUCUCUGGGCCGAUACUGACGCUGAGGAGCGAAAGCCAGGGGAGCGAACGGG
rnacentral:rRNA from 1 species